UGGUUGAUGCAUACUCACUAUUUUUGCACAUAUGUUGAUAAUGUUUUACAUUUAUCUACUCAUUAUACCUCUGCUUAUGCAGCUCUAUUACACUGUUUUGGUUCCCUCUUGGCACUCUGAUCAUGGUUAUGGAGGGAGCUAAACUUCUGCUUUACAUAUAAAUGAUGAAAGUGAUUGUGAUGGUGAUGAUUAUAAUACCUACAAAAAAAAACCUCUAAAAUAAUCAGUUUACAAUAAUAAUUAUAAUACAAAAACAAAAUAAUGCAGGGCUAGGUUAUCCAUUUGUCAAUUUUGGGACUUGGGAUGAUGAACUUAGCGACUUUGUCUUCUUCCCAUCUUCGUUCAAGUCACGGUUCCUAGCUAGUCUUUUAGCGUUUUCUACCUUACAUUACACCAGUUAUCUAAAACUUUAAGGCGAGGGUUUGUGCAAUUAAUAUCUGCACUCAUUUCCAGCUUUAACUCUGAUAUUUUACCCUCUUUUCAGGUUGCUGUGUUUCCACGCUUCCUCCAUUGUUUCCACUAAAAUAUCUCAAGUGGCCAUUUUAGAUUUGUUUUCUAGAUCACAGCAGAAUCUUUUCAGAUUUUAACGUGUUCAUGGAAUUUACAGUGAAAUAAUUAUCCAGUAUAUGUUGCCAUAUAUCUCAGCAUAGUAUGAGGAGGUCCCAGGUUUGAUGCAGCUUCUUGUGUUCCUUAAUUUGGUUAACAGACAAAGAUAUAAAGGAAAUGAUAUCUUAGACAUUUGGAAAGACAUGCUUAAGUUAGGUGAUGAGCAGGUUGAGGACUAGUUUUGUAGCUAUAUCAGUGGUUCCAUGCGAAUCUACCACAUAAUUUUGCUCAAACCCAGGCAAUGUGUGCUAGGAGCAUUUCUUGUUCUAGUUAUCUAAGAACAAGUAUUAGGUAUUCAUCAAUUCUAACGUUUGUACUUGGUUGAACUUAUCUUCAUCUUGUGAAUAAUCGCAGGUUGCCACCACAUUGGGAUUGUGACUUGCGUGUCAAUGGCCACAAGAAGUUCGCGAAGCUUAAUGGAGAUAAGCCAGCAAAGACAAGAGAGGAGACGACAUCAUUUGUAGUGGCCGGAAUUCAUGGAGGAGGGUUACCGACAUUUCACCAGUCCUUUACCUUUUCUACACUUGUACGAGGACAAAUUUUAACCCCUUCUUUUCGUAUCUGGAAUGCCUUUUUGCAUAUGUAAUCAGAGAGGUUUUCCCUUCUUUUUUUGUUUUUUUUUUUUUAUAAGGUUGUCAUGUAAUGUUUGGAUAUUCACAAUGAUAGAAUUCUCCUUUUGAUUCGAGCAGGUGUUUACUUUGUAUACAAUGUAUAGCUAUAAAACCCGCCGCACCGAUGAGUUGA